UGACUUUGUAAUUCAGUGUUGACACUCAGGACCUUUUUCAUUUUGUGUUAAAGACUGAUCACUCUGGGAAAAUCAAGGCAGUCCAGCCAAACCCCAAGUCCCAAUCAAAUGCAGUUUGUAUUGAACCCCACGACUGCCCAGCACCUUUGGGAAGCCCAUUGCUUUCUAUGCAGAUGCAGAGCUCCCAGAAAGCACAGUUGAAGAGAUGAAGGCGCAGAGGCAUGAACUCCCAUAACCAGAGAGUGUGAGCUGGACUCUACCUGGAGCAGCCUGGGUGCAGAGCCCAUGCCCCCAACCAUGUCCAUGGCCAAGGCCCAGCCCAGACAGGGCACAAAGGGGCUGAGGAAGAGGAAGUAAGAUGCCAGGGUUGCCAUGCAGGAAGGCAGCCCCGAGUGAGAUGGGCAUCGUGGCCUAGGGCCCACCUUCUGGAAGAGCUCAUCAGAACUUCGGACACACUACAUGGGCCUAGACCCAGGGCUCGUUGAGCCCCUCCCUCGGAUUGGCGUCGAAUUUUAGGUGAAUCCGCUCUAGCUGCCACAUUUACCCUUGUAAGCCUACACUUUGUCGUCUUCUGAAAAGGUGCAGGAACAUGAUGCCCAGCUGACUCCCAGGGAGCGGGAGCCCCAGAGGCCAGCGGAGCACAGCCGCAGCAGGCAGAUCUGUUGGGAAACCACGGGAGUAUAGGAGCAGGGCUGGGGGCACCUGAGGGCCUGUGGAGCCCGAGUUAUUGAAACGCUUAGAGUAAAGCAGAUUUAGAUUUCACAAAGACAGAGGUGAAGGUGGGUGAAGACGGAGGGAAGGAUUUAAAGGGAAAGAGAAAGAGAAAAGAUAGGAAUGAGGGAGAAAGAGGAAGAGAGAAAGAAAAAGAGAAAUAGAGUUAUCGAAGAUGACUGCCAGACUGGCGUCUCUCAACUCAAGGAGCCAAGGAGGGGAAGGCCGGUCUGAGCAGCAAUGUAGACAAGAGCUCAGGAGCUCAGGCGGGCAAGAACAGAGCCCUGGCUUCAGCAAGAGCGUGGGGAACAGAGGGCAAGGGGGUCCAUGCAGCCCAGGAUGGCAGGGUGCUCAUACACACAGCCUUGGUCCUGUCCCCUCUCCCAUUGCCACUUUUGAGCUCACCUUGUUUAAGACCAAAGCACACGCCAUCCUCCCACAGAGCCACUAAUGCAAUUAACAAAACACAUUCAUAAAUCUUGCAUGGCGUCCGGAGCUGUCUCCUCUCCCUAAGCACAAGGGCCAGCUCCGGAGAUGCUGUGCAGAGAGCUGUCUGACCUCUCCAGCGUCAGGGCCCCCUGAAAAACGCAGCAUAACCCUUAGUAGGACAGAAAGACCAUUCUCUUCUGCCAACCAUUACAAAGUGGAGUGGGGCUGGGGUCAGGAAACACAGACAAAUCAGAAGAGGCUGAGAAGGCGGAGAUGAAAGUGCAUACGCGUUUGCAGGGAGCUGGGGAAUAGUUCGUGCCUUCCAAGCUCAACAAGAGAGCAUUCAGCAGAGACCAGAGAAUCACCACUUUUGGAGGGUGAUUUUACCUUGUGAGAACAGAGCACAGGGUGCGUGGGACCCAGGGCAUCUUCGGCAAUGCAGGCAUGACUUGGCGGGAUGUCAGUGUUUGUGUUUGCAUGUGUGUGUACGUGCGUGCGUGCAUGCUCAGUCUGGAAAACUGGUGACUCACUAAAACACGGAGCUUUCUGAUCUGAA
rnacentral:lncRNA from 1 species